AUGGGGAAUUUAUGGGAAUUUUUGGGAAUUUGGGCGGAGUUUUUUUGGAGAUUUUUUUGGGAGAUUUUUUUGGAUUUUAGGGGAAUUUUUUGGGAAUUGUUUUGGGAAUUGUUUGGGGAAUUUUUUGGGAUUUUUUGGGAAUUUUUGGGAAUUUUUGGGGAAUUUUUUGGGAAUUCCCACUCACCGGAGAUGAGCUCGUCCAGGUCCAGCUGCUGCCCCUGCUCCUCGUCCACGUGGAGCACCAGGAAUCCUGACAGGAAUUCCGGGAUCAGAAUCCGGAAUAUUCCCCCAAAAAAUUCCCAAAAUUCACCCCAAACCCAGCCCGGAUCCCAACCUGAAUUAUCCCAAAAAUUCCAUAAAAAUUCCAUAAAAAUUCCCAAAGAAUUCAAUAAAAAUUCCACUAAAAUUCCCCAAAAAUUCCCCCCAAAAAAUCCCCCCAAAAUCCCCCCAAAUUUACAUAAAAAUCUCCCAAGAAACACCCUAAAAAUUCCUUAAAAACUCCCCCCAAAAAUCCCCGAAAAAUCAAAAAAAAAUCCCCCCAAAACUGAAAAAAAUCCUCCCAAACAUCCCAAAGAAUUCAACCCAAAAAUUCCCAUAAAAAUCCCCCCAAAAUCUAAAAAAAAUUCCCAAGAAUCCCCCAAAAUUCCCUAAAAAUCCCCCCAAAAUUACCAUAAAAUUUCCAAAAAAUUCCCCCAAAAAAUCCCCAAAAUCCCCAAAAAAAUCCCAAAAAAUCCAAACAAAAUCCCCCAAAAAUCCCAAAAAAAUCCCCAUAAAGAUCCCCCCCAAAUUCCCAAAAAAUUCCAUCAAAAUACCAAAAAAAUACCCCCAAAAAUCCCCAAAACGCCCCCAAAAUCCCCCCAAAAAUAUCCCCCAAAAAAUUCUCAGAAUCCUAAAAAACAUCAAAAUUAAAAAAAAAACAAAAAAAUGCCCAAAAAACCCCUAAAAAUCCCCGAAAAUCCCCAAAUUAUCCCAAAAAAAUUUAAAAAAAAAUCCCCAAAAAUAAAAAAAAUCUCCCAAAAUCCCA
rnacentral:lncRNA from 1 species